rnacentral:tRNA from 1 species
GCGCCAGUAGCUCAAUGGAUAGAGCGUCGGACUUCGGAUCCGAUGGUUGCGGGUUCAAGUCCUGCCUGGCGCGCCA